rnacentral:rRNA from 1 species
UACGUAGGGUGCAAGCGUUAAUCGGAAUUACUGGGCGUAAAGCGUGCGCAGGCGGUUUUGUAAGUCUGUCGUGAAAGCCCCGGGCUCAACCUGGGAAUUGCGAUGGAGACUGCAAGGCUUGAAUCUGGCAGAGGGGGGUAGAAUUCCACGUGUAGCAGUGAAAUGCGUAGAGAUGUGGAGGAACACCGAUGGCGAAGGCGGCCCCCUGGGUCAAGAUUGACGCUCAUGCACGAAAGCGUGGGGAGCAAACAGG